rnacentral:lncRNA from 1 species
AGAAGGCCCUCACCUCACAAGGAACAUGAGGCGCCUUGCCGGGCGCGCAGGCCACUCCCAGGUCACUCAGGAUUCCAAGUUCUCCCCCAAGACGCCUUCAGAUGCUGAGCGGCACAAGGGCCUCCCCAGGGACUGGUUGCAAAGCCUCCUGCUCAGCUUGAGAGGGCCACCAGCUCCCCACUGUUUACUGUUGUUCCUGAGAGAGGCCAGAGGGAGGGACCAGCCAGGGAGUGGCCAGAGGGACAGAAGGGGUGGCCUUCCUGAGGGCAGGGUGGGUGCCCCAGACCUGAGAGCGCUGCAGGACUCCCCUCCACAGGCUCAGGUGGAGCCUCCCCAGGGUCCUCCUGGCCAGGAAGGCAGAGAGCCGACUUCUUUCUUCAGCUCCCAACCCAGGCCCAGCCCACGGCGUGGGAGUCGGGGAGAGGGAGAGGAGGAGGAAGGAGGAGGAGAGAGGGAGCUUGUCUUGUCCCUGAGCAGCGCUCUCAGGGCAGAGGACGACCAACAACAAAAAAGCCAGGCAGAGACAGCAGCUGGCUGUCAGCAGAGGAGCUGGGCUGAGGCGCCCAGGGGAGCAGCGGCGCCCACGAAGGAAGUACGAGGACAGCACGUGGAGGCUCCGCGCUGGGGCACUGCUGCUCAGCCCCCAACACCUGAGCUCCCAG